rnacentral:rRNA from 1 species
UACGGAGGGGGCAAGCGUUAUUCGGAAUUAUUGGGCGUAAAGAGCGUGUAGGCGGCUUUACAGGUCCGUUGUGAAAACUCGAGGCUCAACCUCGAGACGCCGGUGGAAACCGUAAGGCUAGAGUCCGGAAGAGGAGAGUGGAAUUCCUGGUGUAGCGGUGAAAUGCGCAGAUAUCAGGAAGAACACCCGUGGCGAAGGCGGCUCUCUGGGACGGUACUGACGCUGAGACGCGAAAGCGUGGGGAGCGAACAGG